rnacentral:other from 1 species
UUAACCCUGCCACGUUCGUGUAUCGAAACAAAGUCCUUGAACCGUAUUAAAUAAUACGGGGCCUUGACUUCGACCAUCGGCCGUCAGGCCUUGAUUGGACUUCGAAAGUCGUCGAUUGGGCCCCACCUUGUUCCUAAGCGUUCAAAGGAACUGUUCUCCCACGGCGUUACGGUGGGGUUAUU